UACGUAGGGUGCAAGCGUUGUCCGGAAUUAUUGGGCGUAAAGAGCUCGUAGGCGGUUUGUUGCGUCGGCUGUGAAAUCCCGAGGCUCAACCUCGGGUCUGCAGUCGAUACGAGCAAACUAGAGUGUUGCAGGGGAGACUGGAAUUCCUGGUGUAGCGGUGAAAUGCGCAGAUAUCAGGAGGAACACCAGUGGCGAAGGCGGGUCUCUGGGUAGUAACUGACGCUGAGGAGCGAAAGCGUGGGUAGCGAACAGG
rnacentral:rRNA from 1 species